UGGGGUGUAGCCAAGUGGUAAGGCAUCGGACUUUGGCUCCGACAUCGUAGGUUCGAAUCCUGCCACCCCAG
rnacentral:tRNA from 1 species